ACGUGUUACAAUGGGGGGUACGGAGGGCCGCUACCACGCGAGUGGAUGCCAAUCCCCAAAACCUCUCUCAGUUCGGACUGGAGUCUGCAACCCGACUCCACGAAGCUGGAUUCGCUAGUAAUCGCGCAUCAGCCACGGCGCGGUGAAUACGUUCCCGGGCCUUGUACACACCGCCCGUCAAGCCAUGGGAGCCGGGGGUACCUGAAGUGCGUAACCGCGAGGAGCGCCCUAGGGUAAAACUGGUGACUGGGGCUAAGUCGUAACAAGGUACC
rnacentral:rRNA from 1 species